AAAUGGCAAAGUCAGGGUAAAUGCUAAGCUGGACUGGAAAAUGGACAACAGACAUGAACUGGGAUUUAGCAACCUUCGAGCAAACUGAGAAGUACCUCCAGCUUAGUUCUACAGAAUCCUAACUAUAUAGAUUAUGAUUGAGAUUCACUCUUGGAAAGGAUGUCCUUCGUAACUCAUUUCUAAUUAAUUCCUUCCAGUUUGCUUGCAGGCAUCUGGCUGUUUUCUGGAGAAGAUUUGUAUAAGAAGUACCUUCACCGGAAGAUUUGAAUAAAAUUCAAAAUGACUCCUAGUUGUUUCAGUGAAAAAACAGGGGAAAGUGUCAUUUUUUUCCUGUAUUCUGUGAACCAAAAGGUAUAAAAAAAAAUCCUUAAUUUCUGUCCCCAAGAACAAAGAUGAAAGUAUAUAACAUGCAAUUAAAUGCUACUUUUGUAUAAAUAUG